CCUGAGAAACCCAAAAGAUCGAAUGGGGAGAUUCAUCGUCAGCGAUUUUGGCACGUGUGCGGUUCGCGAUGCCGGAGACUUCGGUCUCCAGGCACGCGUCCGCAUGUUUUUCAUUGCCUUAAACGUCGGCGUGCACUUCUCCCCUAGUAGGACGUCGCGACCCGUUGGGUGUCGGUCUACGGCCCGGGCGGUAGCCUGUCUCGUGUACGCUUCGCGGCGUUACGCGGUUCAGACCCCCGGAUGCCUGACCGGCUGCUCGGCGGUACGCGCACGGUAUCUGGCCGCAAAUAUUCGAACUGCGUCCGGCCCGUCGCAAGCGAGGCAAGUGUUUCCCGGCUGUACGGAUCUAACGCCGUCACCGGGCCUUGCCAGCUGUUGGUUGACGGUGUCCUAUGACAGGCCAAUGCAUUUAUGAUACCGGU
rnacentral:rRNA from 1 species